AGAAAGGCAUAAAUUCUCAAUAAAAAAGUUUCAGGUUUAAAUCUUGCCUUAAAAUUCUAAUAAGAAAGUUUGAGGCUUUAAUCUUACUAAAUGGGGUGGGAAGAAAUUUGUAGGAAAUGGGAGAGCUCUGUAACUUUGCCAAAAAUAGCCAAAGCUGCUGCUUUUUCACUCCAUAUUGACGAAGUCUUCUUUUAUGUCAAAAUUUCAAGGUCAAGACGUGUUCUGCGGAUAAAGUGCUCCAUACUCCAUAUAAUUAAUCUUACCUCCAGUAAUCAGAAGUCACUGAGACCUAUUGGGAAUGGAUGUUACUGUUAUCUCUUUCCUUUCUUUCUUCUCUCUCUUUCACUCUGUUGUUUCUUAUUCCCCAGAACAAAUACAAGACUUCUACAAAUUCUGCCCUCCAAUUGACUGUGGAAAGCUUGGCCAACUCAGGCUUCCCUUCACCAAUAAAACACUCCUUGAAGGCUGCGGUCCCUUUGUACUGGAUGGUUGCAGCGAAAAAGUUCAAAAGAUCAAACUAGAGAGGGGAAAAGGAAAAUGGUAUGAAGUUGAAAGUAUCUCACAGUCUAAUACCAUUUCUAUAACCGACACAGAGUUACAACGGCAGAUUGAUAACAGACAGUGUCAGUCCUUCAACAAUUUGAGUGUUCCUAUUUUAACAUAUGCCCCUUUUCGAAUUAGGCCUAAUCUAACCCUCUUCAAAUGCAACCAUCCUGCCAAUUUUACUCAUUUUGAUUUUAGUUAUACAGAGUGCAAGAACUUCACCAUCUGCUAUAAUUACAUGAACAGAAGUGCUCUGCCAAGUCCUCCACCUAAUUGUUCAAUUCUUCAGCUACCCUUCAAUGUAAAUCAAAAUUAUGAUGACGUUUUUCAUCUGUUGACUGCCAAUUUCUCUCUAGAAGUGUACUUUUGGCUAGAAUGUUAUUGGUGCCAACUAUAUGGAGGUAAAUGCCUAGGCAACAGCAAAAAAAAGUUCCAAUGCGUAGAUGCAAAAGGAAAUUUAAUAAGAACAACCAAGCGAAGAAAACACAGAGAUUGCCCUGCAAUUUCCUGCGGAAGCUUGGGAAAACUUAUAUUCCCUUUCACCAACAGAACAAGUCCUGAGUUUUGCGGUCCAUUUAUCGUUGAUGACUGCAGUAAAGAAACUCCGAAGAAUCGAUUGUGCAGGUAUUCAGAAAAAUGGUAUGAAAUCCAAAGAGUCUCCCAGACUGAUUUCAUAACUAAUAUUUCUGUCAUUGACGAAGAGCUAAGGGGGAAUUUGAAUUCCAGGAACUGUGAAUCCUUUGAUUGGAGUCUUCCCGAGAUUCAUUCAGCUCAUUUUCAAAUUAUUUCAAAUCUAGCAACCUUAUACAAAUGCAAGCACUCUGUACCUUCUCUAAAUUCUGAUUUUGAUCAUAAAAAUUGCUCCGACUACAGUAUCUUCUACCCUAAAAAUGUUACUGCAAGUUUAUUUCCAAGUCGUCCUCCUCCUUCUCCUCCUCUUCAUUGUUCAAUUGGGUGGCUUCCAUGGAACACCGAAAAUACUGAUGAUCACAAUAUAUUCACAAUGUUCACUGCUAACUUCUCUCUGCAAGUAACCGACCUCGAAUGUUAAUCGUGUCUAUUAAACGGAGGCAAGUGUAUACGCAAGGAUAAUGCAGAAUUCCAAUACUGUCUUAGAAAAAAGCACAGAAAAAAGCAAAAUGCGUUGGGAAUCAAGCUAGGAGUAGGUAUUGUACUUCCUUGAUCACAUCUCAAUUUCUCUUUUCUUCUAGAUAUAGGCAUCGGAAUCAUUAUCGUCCUAAUAAUUUUGAUGCUCGGAAGAAGAAUGCUCGGAAUUUUCUUCUUAUGCGAUACCUCCAUUUUCUGUUGGAAGAAAAACAAACAAGACCAUCAAAGUAUUGAGGCCUUCUUAGCGAACAUGGAUCGAUGGCACCAAAAAGAUACAAAUAUAUAGAAAUCAAGAAAAUCACAGGCUCUUUCAAAGAUAAACUAGGCCAGGGAGGUUAUGGCAGUGUGUUCAAAGGUAAAUUAACUGAUGGUAAUCUUGUGGCUGUAAAAGUCUUAAAGGAAUCAAAAGAGUAACGGAGAAGAAUUUAUCAGUGAAGUUGCAAGCAUCAGUAGAACUUCUCACGUCAACAUUGUUACCCUUUUAGGAUUUUGUUUCGAGGGUUCUAAAAGAGCACUUGUCUACGAGUUCAUGUCUAAUGGAUCACUUGAUAAGUACAUAGAAAAUCCUCCGAAUGCUGCUGCUCGCCAAUUAGGUUGGGAAACAUUACAACAAAUUGCAGUUGGUAUUGCGCGAGGACUGGAGUACUUGCACCGAGGAUGUAAGACAAGGAUUUUACAUUUCGACUUAAAACCUCAUAACAUUCUUCUGGAUGUAGAUUUGUGUCCUAAAAUCUCAGAUUUUGGUUUAGCUAAAAUAUGCCUUAGAAAAGAGAGUUUUGUAUCAAUGUUGGGUGCCAGAGGAACUGCAGGGUACAUUGCACCUGAAGUAUUUUGUAGAAAUUUUGGAGGUGUUUCUCAUAAGUCUGAUGUUUACAGUUAUGGAAUGUUACUGUUUGAAAUGGUCGGAGGAAGAAGGAAUCCGUGUGUUCUAGCUGAUAAUAGUAGUGAUAUAUAUUUUCCUCAUUGGAUAUUCAAGCGUCUCGAACUAGGCCAAGAACUUGGGCUUCAUGGAAUCGGUAAUGAAGAAGACAACCAAAUAGCAAGAAAAAUGGUGUUGGUGAGCUUGUGGUGCCUACAAUCUGAUCCCUCAAAACGGCCUCCGAUGAGCAGAGUAAUAGAAAUGUUGCAGGGUAACGCUGAGUCAUUGUCAAUUCCCCCAAAACCAUACUUGUCCUCACCUUCAAGAUCCCCUCCGAGAUCGGGGGCAAGUUCAUCAACAAUUGUUAGUCUAAAUUGCUCUUUGAAGGCUUGACAAGCACAAAUAUUCAAGUUUUGCCAAUUGUUGUAAUUAUAUUCUAAACUUCUUAUCCAAUUUUACUUUGAAAUGAAUUUGUAAAGGGAAUUGGUUCAGGUCAGUUUUAACAAAUACUCUAAUAAUUGCGGGACCCUUAACUAUGCUUGGUUCAGGUCAACGUUAACCCAAGUCCUCUCUCCUGCUUUAUAUAUAACUCAAAACGACAAAAAUCCAACGCAACUCCUCUUACGGACACCAACCGGCGACCGCCACAGCCUGCUCCAUUUCGCGGCGCUAUUUUUUUCCUUCUUUUUUUCUUGAUUACUUGAUUACUGGCUUCGAAGAAACUUCUUUUGUUUAUACUUUAUACUAUGACUGUCGAUGUUUUGGCUGGGUAUAGAGGGAGAGAGCUGGACUUCUGAGAGCGAGAGGACAGCCAUACGUUAAUCCCAUCCUUAAUUCCCUUACGCCGAGUUAACUCACUGCUUUCGCUGAUUCGCUAAGCAACUGAAAGAAAAAGGAAGAAAUGCUAGAAUCGGUAAGAGGGGUUCGAAGUUGUUCCUUUCUCGCCUCGCUCAUCUUAAUUAAUCCAUAGAUAUUUAAAUGGGCUACAGAUUAUACACGAUAUGUUUUUUUUAUUAAAGAUGGGUAGGGUUUUAUGCCCUUUGACACUGUUAGCGGGACCACAGGAGGAGAGAUUGCCUUCUUGUUUUUAAAAAUUCUUAUCAAGGUCAGUUCUUUUUUUCUCUUUUUUUGGAUUGAUUGCUUCUGUCUUAAAUUUGUUAUGGGUGUGUGAUUUGGUUGAUGUAAUUGGAUACUAGUCCGUGUAGUUUAACAGUGAAUCUUAUUGGUGAUAGUUGGUAUUUUAAAAGUAUUUUUAAUAUA